UUUGCUUCUUAUUCAGGGACGUCUUCCCGUAAAAUGGACCGUCAUCGAGGCGUUGCUUUACGGAAAAUAUUCGACGAAGAGUGAUGUGUGGAGCUACGGAGUUCUCCUCUAUGAGAUUUUUACGAUUGGUGGUUCACCUUAUCCACGAAUGGAUGGAAGAAAAAUCGCUAACUCACUUCAAGAGGGAUACAGAAUGCCUAAACCACAACAUAUGGAUGAUAAGUUGUAU